rnacentral:lncRNA from 1 species
UAUAUAAUAAAAUUAGAACACUCAAAAAAGAAUGAAACUAAGAGUAGAAAAAGACAAUCCUUGAUUUAAAGCGUCAAGAAUCUGACUAAUUUCUGUAGAUAUAACCAUAAUGCUAUACAUAAUUAUUCUACCCAAAUAACGGUUAUCCUUUUAUGACUCACUUGAAUUUCUAUAAUGUAGAUACUAAUGCAGACUAAUGAAUGUAAUAUUG